rnacentral:lncRNA from 1 species
UUUCUAGUUCUUAGCAGAAGGGUUGAACAUCUACAUAAACAUUUACUGUUUGUAUGAUGUACAUGCUAAGCUACUGUUAGUUAGCAAUUUUUGUUUCAGUUUUACCACUGCUUUUGCUAUUACAUAAGGAUAAUAAUGUUGUUUACUUGUUAAAAUUCAUUUUUCAGUGGGUUGAGACCUAUAAGUUAUCAAGCCUGGUUUUGCUGCUGUAUAUAUAUUUUUUAAUGUGAAAAUAUAUUGUAUUAUGCCUUUCAGGAUUAUGAACCGUUAAUGAGGGCACCGUCAAAGCUAGUUUGAGGGCACUGUCAAAGCUAGUCAAUCUUAACAAUCCAGAUCUUGUCUUGUUU